GGACUACUGGGGUUUCUAAUCCCAUUCGCUACCCACGCUUUCGUCCUAGCAGUGUCAGGAGACACCCAGAAGCCUGCCUACGCUAUCGGUGUUCCGAACGAUAUCAACGCAUUUCACUACUACACCGUUCGUUCCAGCUUCCUCUUUGUCCCUCUAGUCUAAAAGUUUCAAAAGACAGAUUCCGAGUUAAGCUCGGAGAUUUCACUUCUGACUUUUUAGACCACCUAUCGGUACGCUUUACGCCCAAUGAUUCCGGAUAACGCUUGAGGUCUCUGUAUUACCGCGGCUGCUGGCAC
rnacentral:rRNA from 1 species